rfam:Rhizophagus irregularis DAOM 197198w jcf7180003178713, whole genome shotgun sequence.
GCCUUCUUGGCUCAGUUGGCAGAGCGUCUGCCUAGUAAGCAGAAGGUCGUCAGUUCGAUUCUGGCAGAAGGCA